UUUUUUUUCAAAAUACUCGAAUCAAGCAGCUACUAGGAUGUUGACACACUGUUCCUACGAAAUGUGGUGUCCCAUUGAAGAAGAGACUCGCAUUGACUUGUACUGUCGAGGAGGUAAAAGAAUUGCCUUGUGGCCACAUGUACCACUUAAAAUGUGGGCCCAAAGAGAGCAACAAACAAUUGAGCAGUGUCUUCUGUCGGAUUGAGGUGGAGAAGGUGAUCCCAAAAUGCGGGCACAGAGUAAAAAUCGAGUGUGGGAAAAAGCUGUCCAGGAAUGACUGUACUUCCAUGUGUGAGAAAAAACUACACUGUGGACAUCGCUGCAGGCUCCUUUGUCGAGAGCAAUGCGCCAAUUUCGGGAUCAGAACCAUACCCAGUAGUGAUCUGCGUAUACAAUUAAUCAUGUAUAACAAACACUAUAAUGUUGUCAAAAGAAAGCAAAAAGUACGUCUCUUUACCCGGUCAAUAAUCCAAAUGCAUGUUGCGGCCGUAAUCCACUCUCUUGCGUGCACAUUGCAUUCGAAGAACUCAACACGUUUAUUGGCAGAAAGAUGAGUGCUGAUGAUUAACUGAACAAUGUCACGACCCUCUGCGGUUGUCCCUCCAACCUUAGUCGACACUAUUGGGUGAACACUGUUUAUGGGAAUAUGGAUUUACCUCUUCGUACGUGUGAUAAUUUUCAAGAUCAAUUGCUUUUCCACUGUAAAGUGCGCGUCGGAGAGCGAUGGUCUCUUGUUCCUGUCGCACCAACUCACCAACAUCAGCAA